rnacentral:rRNA from 1 species
CAUCGUUUUGCAUACAAGGAUCUAUUUCAUGCCACUGAGGGGUUUCCAGGUAGGAAUUUACUUGGUGUAGGAGGAUUUGGAAGAGUGUACAAUGGGGUGCUUUCUGCCUCCAAUCUGGAGGUUGCACUGAAGAGAGUGGCACAUGAUUCGAAACAAGGACUAAGAGAGUUCAUUGCUGAGGUGGUGAGCAUUGGUCGUCUCCGCCACCGGAAUCUUGCGCAGUUACUAGGCUAUUGCCAGCGAAAGGGUGAACUUCUCUUGGUUUAUGACUACAUGGAAAAUGAUAGUCUUGACAAAUACUUGUACAAUAGAAAUAUGCCAACUCUACAAUGGUCUGAGAGGUACCAAAUCAUCAAAGGUUUAUUAUGCUCCUACCCAUCAUCCAGUGCAAGGCCU